UUAAUUGACUACUUUAGAGUACCUGUACAGCAUAAAACUAGCAUUUCAGAUCUCACAAGAGAAAACAGGCAUGUUGCAUUGGUUCUCUACAUUUUGUGUAUCCCGAAUGACUCUUGGAUCCAGAAACCUUCUGAAAGGCAGUUUAUUUAAAAAUUUCCAAAGAUAGAAAUACUAAAGAAAUAAAACUAAAUUUCCUUUUCUUUUUAAUAUAACGUUAGUUCCCUCAAUCUUAAGCAAUUCCCUUUUACAAAGUGCAAAUUACUAUGAAUUGAGACCUUUAUUGCAAUAUUUGAGGUUUGUUUUUUCAGCUAAAUUGAGCAAAUGUUAGUUUUGCUUUUUAAAGCUUUAUUAUAUUACCUGAGUUCACCAAUUGACUUAAUUGCAUUUUCCAUAUACAGCUCUAAUCCAGAAUAAAAUCUAAUAUGAU
rnacentral:lncRNA from 1 species